rnacentral:rRNA from 1 species
GACGAACGCUGGCGGCGUGCCUAACACAUGCAAGUCGAACGGAACUGUUUUGAAAGAUUUCUUCGGAAUGAAUUUGAUUUAGUUUAGUGGCGGACGGGUGAGUAACGCGUGAGUAACCUGCCUUCAAGAGGGGGAUAACAUUCUGAAAAGAAUGCUAAUACCGCAUGACAUAUCGGAAUCACAUGGUUUUGAUAUCAAAGAUUUUAUCGCUUGAAGAUGGACUCGCGUCCGAUUAGUUAGUUGGUGAGGUAACGGCUCACCAAGACCGCGAUCGGUAGCCGGACUGAGAGGUUGAACGGCCACAUUGGGACUGAGACACGGCCCAGACUCCUACGGGAGGCAGCAGUGGGGGAUAUUGCGCAAUGGGGGCAACCCUGACGCAGCAACGCCGCGUGAAGGAUGAAGGUUUUCGGAUUGUAAACUUCU